rnacentral:rRNA from 1 species
UACGUAGGGUGCGAGCGUUGUCCGGAAUUAUUGGGCGUAAAGAGCUCGUAGGCGGUGUGUCACGUCGAUCGUGAAAACCUGCAGCUUAACUGUGGGCGUGCGGUCGAUACGGGCAUCACUGGAGUUCGGCAGGGGAGACUGGAAUUCCUGGUGUAGCGGUGAAAUGCGCAGAUAUCAGGAGGAACACCGGUGGCGAAGGCGGGUCUCUGGGCCGAUACUGACGCUGAGGCGCGAAAGCUAGGGUAGCAAACGGG